CAACGUAUCCAACCUGCCGUCUACUCUUGGCCAGCCUUCUGAAAGGAAGAUUAAUCCAGGAUGGCAUCAUGAGUCCGCAUGUUCACAUGAUUAAAGGUAUUCCGGUAGACGAUGGGGAUGCGUUCCAUUAGAUAGUAGGCGGGGUAACGGCCCACCUAGUCUUCGAUGGAUAGGGGUUCUGAGAGGAAGGUCCCCCACAUUGGAACUGAGACACGGUCCAA
rnacentral:rRNA from 1 species